UUUUGCCACGUAAAGUAACAUAUUCACAAGUUCCCAGAGAUUAGGGCUUGGAAAUCUUUGGGGGACAUUAUUCUGCCUACCACAGCUAGGUUAUUUUCAUAUUUUUCUCCCUUAAUCCAUGUAACAGCCUCGUAAAGAAAGCAUUGUUAUACUCAUCAUAUACGAAUAGUAACUGAGGUUCAGAGAGGUUCCUAUUACAACUGAUAAACGGGGGAGCUGGGGUUUGAAUCUUGCUUCAGAGCUCACACUCCGUCCUCUGCCAGAGAUGGAGGGGUGGAAGAAAAGCCAUCAUGUGACCUGCCACUCUCAUUGCAUUUCCCACCAUUGUUUCACUAGGGCUGCUUCUCAACUUAGCAAGGUCGUCACUCUGUCCACCAAAGAUUUCUAACUCUCCUCCUGGGUAUGUGGUAUGUGUGUCUCCUGGGUCUCAUCAGAACACACAUGGCACGCUCAAAUGAAGUUAUUGAGAAGAGAUUAAUAAAAGGACUGUUUACAAGGUUGUGAGUGGGGCAAUGUAAAACCAACAAGGAAUGACAGAGCAUGUUGGCUAACAACAGCUAUUGCACCCCACGCCUGGAGGAGUAUAGGGAAGAAACAGUUACUAGAACCCCAAGAGAAAGGAGAAACUGAAGGAGGGGAUGCCUGGCUGGAGCUGUGGCCUUCAAUAGUGGAACACCGCUACAACCAGCCUGGCAGGGAGGCUUCUGUGGAUUUCUGAGAGAGCGGAGGAGGAGCAUGUACAAUCACCACAAGCUCCAUGGCUGACCAGCACAGGCAUUAGGCAGAAAAGUCAGAAAAGUGUUGUAUAAGAUUCACAUAGAAAUAAGGACAAGAACAAGAACUGCACAAGAGUUGACACUGGAGACUGGAAUGCUACUCAAAGAACAGAAUUCCCCCAAACAUCCAAGAUGACCCCUAGCAACUGAAUUAUCUUGACAUCACCUCAGCAGUAGAGUGCUGUUAGAUUUUGUGCCAUGCUGUCCAUAUCGCACCGGCCAGUCUACAUGUUAUUUGACUUUGAGUUCACUUCCCACUUUUGGCAAGCCUGGCUGUUGUUCUGUAGCAGGGUAACACAGGCUAAGAAUUGAGAUAUGUCAACUUAAGGAUUCACCGUGGUCAAGUUUCCUCUGCAGAAGACCAUGGAAGUGUGUCAUGGGCAUUCUGACUCUUGCCUUCUUCAAAAUAGCCCCACUAACAGAUGUCAGCAACUGAUUCCUUUGGAAGGAUAAACAAAUGGUAUAACCAGAUAAGGCUUUGAAGGCUUUGCAAUGGACCCCAAAUUAUAACUAGUUACACAGAAAUUUAAAGAAUGGAAUGAAUCUCUGUUUGGAUAGAUGUCCUAUAUAUUGCAGGCAUAACAGAACUGACCUUCCUCCCAGCCCUGUCGUGAGGAUGAAAUCCUGUGUGGAGCACUUUGAAAUCUUUGGAUGAAAAGCACGACAGAAGUGCCAAGUAUGAUUGUUACCCGUGCCAGCCACACUAGAAGACAGCAUAAAAAUAGGAAGCAAAGAAAAUUUCAUUUUACAAAAGCUUCAGUGAGAAAAUUGGCUGGUCAGAAUGUCAUUCCCUAGUUUUGGUUCACAUACACGUUGUCUUUUAUAAAAUUAAAGGAAAAAAAUAAUUGUACACAUUUUUGUCUUUGCCGGGAAGAAGCCCUUUGAUCAUCACCAUCCCUGCGACGCCAGGUGAGUCCCUGAUGCAGAAGGAAGAUCGAUACAUGAGGAGACCGUGUGGAAUCAGUUAUUUGUAGUUGCUCCCCAAUUUCUGUUUUUCAUUGCAAGGAAUCGAAGCCAUAAAGUCUGAGGGGGUGUUACAGGUUGAGGAUUAGGGAGUGUCUAAACCUUGACAUCGUCACAACAUAGGAUCCGAGAUACCUCCAGCUAAAACAGAGACUGUGCUUUCAGAACUGGCCCUGCACGCAGCCUCUACUCCAGUGCUCUCAGGUCCUGUCCUUAAUAGGAGAACAUGAGAGCUGCAGAUUUAAAAACCCAAGAGGGAACCUUUGCAACAACCUUUGUUAUAUUAGGAAUCCCAAAAUAAGCUAGAAGAGAGGAAUUUGAAUGUUCUCAACACAAAUGAUAAAUGUUUGAGAUGAUGGAUAUGCUAAAUACACUUAUUUGAUCAUUAAACAUCGUAUACAGAGGGCUCCCAUAAUUGUAUAAGCCUCAUGCCUCACAAAACCUGAAGGUGCCUUUGGUGAGGAGGAUCAUCAGAACACCAGCAGAGUACCUCGACGUGUGAAAUCUAGCACUGGAUUCCAUCCCUGACUUUUCCUAAGAAUCACUGUGAAUGCUCUGGACAAAUUGCUGCUGCGCUGGGUGCUCCCUGUGUCAUCACACUUCCUAAUUGUACUUCUGGGUCCUCUGAAGCUGUUCCCAGUGCUUAAUCGGUUCCCAGAUGUAGCAAAUAAAAAUAGAGGAUAUCCAGUUAUAUCUGAAUUUCAGAUCAAAACAAAUGAUUUUUAAAUAAAACAUACACUCCCAAAAGUGUGAAAUUAAUUUGUCCUUGGACAAGAGAUAUGGAAAUGUCAUGUAUUUUACCUGGAAAUCCUGUUAUUAUGCCCAUUUUUGGAGCUGAGGAAACUAAAGGUAGGAGCCUAGGUAAGUAGUGGAGCUGGAAUCUAAGCCCAGGUCCUUGAUUUCAAAGCACAACCCCAUGCCCCACAAUAUCAUACACUGAUUUAGUAUCUGCCUCCUACCUACCCCCAAGAAAAAUGUGAAAUUAAUUUGUCUUUAGAAAGGAGCUACCAAAGCUAUAAAAACAAAACAAAUGUAUUUGCAGCUAAGAGAAGACAAUCUCCAGGAAACUACUGCUUCAGUUAUUUGACACUGGGCAGAAUUUUUGGUGAGAAAUCAGCAAGAUCAUAGCCUGGAGUGAACACUGGAGGCAUGAGAUGUCCUUGAGAAAGAGGCUAGAACAGAGGGUGGAACGCCCCUUCUAUUAAAGCAGUUGUUUUCCAGGGUCUCUGGAAAGCUCCUUCCUUUGUCGUGGCGGUGGUGGGGAAGGGGAGGCUGGGACCCUAAUGCAUGACUUUCCACCUGGGUGUCACUGGCACCUGAUGUCCUAAUCAUAUUUCCCUGUCACCUCUCAGUGCUGAUUUACUUUCUCCUCCCAUUCUACAUGCUGCAGAACUAAUUGCCUGCCUAAUUGCCAAAACGAAUUGCUGUGACAUUCAUUGUUCAUCUGCUCCUUUCUCCGGCUUGAGCUCAGGCAGGUGGCUCCCAUGAAGGCAAGGGUGGAAUUAUUCCUGCUUUAGGGCCAGGAUGCUUCAGAGUGAUGGCCCAACAAUUAUCUUCCUCAUGGAGGCGGACCAAGGAAUCACCUUCCUCAUUGAGCAGGGGACAAUAAUUCUUGGCAGGGGUUCCCCUUCUUCUGCUGUAAGAUUGGGUAGCUUUGACAGGUUGUGAGUCAGUUAAAUUGUACUUUUCAGGGAGUUCCUCUCUCCCAUUUGGAGAUUAGGAUUAGAUUUGUUGGUUAAGAAACUGACCGAGAGAGGAGAGACAGCUCCUUGCUGGCCACAUAGCUCAUUCAUGGUGAAGUUGAAUCUGGGGCUCAGAUAUCCCAAUUCAUAGCCCAGAAUGAUUUCUACUGCACCACACCACAACUGUUGCAGUUGCACUAAUUACGGUUUUAUAUUUCCUUAUAAACUUUUAUUAAACCCCUAUCAAAUAGUAUGUCCUCAUUGGUAGCAAGAAUAAUAAAUAUUUAUUGAGUUGUUAUGAAUAUUAAGCCUACUUUUUUUUCAUGUAAUCCUGAAAAAAGGCAACAUGACAGAGAUGCUCUCAGUAUCCUUAUUUUAUAUCAGGGAAAGUGGAGGCAGAGGGAGGUUAAUAACUUGCCCAGGUCUGACACCAGAUCCCAUCCUCUUACCCCCACAAGCCCAUGUGCAGAUUCCUCCUGACAGCUUCUGGAUUCUGAUACACGAAAGAACUUAUGAAGAUGACUUGAAGGCUGGAGCUGGCGCAACAUGAAACUAAUCAACCAGAUUAUGCAAAUUAUUAUGUAAACUCCUAUUAUUGAGCCAGGAUUCAUGACAGC